rnacentral:rRNA from 1 species
UAACAAGGAUUCCCCUAGUAACUGCGAGUGAAGCGGGAUGAGCUCAAAUUUAAAAUCUGGCGGUCUCUGGCCGUCCGAGUUGUAGUCUGGAGAAGCGUUUUCCGCGUCGGACCGUGUACAAGUCUCCUGGAAUGGAGCGUCAUAGAGGGUGAGAAUCCCGUCCAUGGCACGGACCGCCGAUGCUCUGUGAUACGCUCUCGAAGAGUCGAGUUGUUUGGGAAUGCAGCUCAAAAUGGGUGGUAAAUUCCAUCUAAGGCUAAAUAUUGGCGAGAGACCGAUAGCGAACAAGUACCGUGAGGGAAAGAUGAAAAGCACUUUGAAAAGAGAGUUAAACAGUACGUGAAAUUGUUGAAAGGGAAACGCUUGAAGUCAGUCGCGUCUCGUAGAACUCAGCCUGGUUUCGGCCUGGUGUACUUUCUAUGUGGACGGGUCAACAUCAAUUUUGACCGUUGGACAAAGGUGAGGGGAAUGUAGCGUUGCUUCGGUGACGUGUUAUAGCCCUUUGCUGUAUACACUGGUUGGGAUUGAGGACUGCAGCGCGCCUUUAAUGGCCGGGGGUUCGCCCUACGUACCGCGCUUAGGAUGUUGGCAUAAUGGCUUUAAGCGACCCGUCUUGAAACACGGACCAAGGAGUCUAACAUGUUUGCGAGUGUUCGGGUGGAAAACCCUUGCGCGUAAUGAAAGUGAAAGUUGGGAUCCUCCGCAAGGGGGUGCACCGACGCCCGGCCCUGAAGUUCUCUGACGGUGCUGCGGUAGAGCAAGUAUGUUGGGACCCGAAAGAUGGUGAACUAUGCCUGAAUAGGGCGAAGCCAGAGGAAACUCUGGUGGAGGCUCGUAGCGAUUCUGACGUGCAAAUCGAUCGUCAAAUUUGGG